rnacentral:rRNA from 1 species
ACGUAGGUAAUGUACCUUUGGGUGGGGAAUAACUUAGGGAAACUUAAGCUAAUACCGCAUAAUGCAGCGGCUCCUUCGGGAGACAGUUGUUAAAGAUUUAUCGCCUAAAGAGCAGCCAGCGGCAGAUUAGCUAGUUGGUAAGGUAACGGCUUACCAAGGCUACGAUCUGUAUCCGACCUGAGAGGGUGGUCGGACACACUGACACCGAAUAACGGGUCAGACUCCUACGGGAGGCAGCAGUCGGGAAUUUUGGGCAAUGGGCGAAAGCCUGACCCAGCAACGCCGCGUGAAGGAUGAAGUCUUUCGGGAUGUAAACUUCGUAAGAAUAGGAAGAAUAAAUGACGGUACUAUUUGUAAGGUCCGGCUAACUACGUGCCAGCAGCCGCGGUAAUACGUAGGGACCAAGCGUUGUUCGGAUUUACUGGGCGUAAAGGGCGCGUAGGCGGCAAUUCAAGUCAGUUGUGAAAUCUCCGAGCUUAACUCGGAACGGUCAACUGAUACUGCUUUGCUAGAGUACAGAAGGGGCAAUCGGAAUUCUUGGUGUAGCGGUGAAAUGCGUAGAUAUCAAGAGGAACACCUGAG